CGCCUGGGGAGUGCGGCCGCAAGGUUAAAACUCAAAUGAAUUGACGGGGGCCCGCACAAGCGGUGGAGCAUGUGGUUUAAUUCGACGCAACGCGAAGAACCUACCUGGCCUUGACAUCCAGAGAACUUUCCAGAGAUGGAUUGGUGCCUUCGGGAACUCUGAGACAGGUGCUGCAUGGCCGUCGUCAGCUCGUGUCGUGAGAUGUUGGGUUAAGUCCCGUAACGAGCGCAACCCCUAUCCCUGGUUGCUAGCAGGUAAUGCUGAGAACUCCAGGGAGACUGCCGGUGACAAACCGGAGGAAGGUGGGGAUGACGUCAGGUCAUCAUGGCCCUUACGGCCAGGGCUACACACGUGCUACAAUGGCGCGUACAGAGGGCUGCCAACUCGCGAGAGUGAGCCAAUCCCUUAAAACGCGUCGUAGUCCGGAUCGGAGUCUGCAACUCGACUCCGUGAAGUCGGAAUCGCUAGUAAUCGCGAAUCAGAAUGUCGCGGUGAAUACGUUCCCGGGCCUUGUACACACCGCCCGUCACACCAUGGGAGUGGAUUGCACCAGAAGUAGUUAGUCUAACCUUCGGGAGGACGAUUACCACGGUGUGGUUCAUGACUGGGGUGAAGUCGUAACAAGGUAACCGUA
rnacentral:rRNA from 1 species